rnacentral:rRNA from 1 species
AGAGCGAACGCUGGCGGCAGGCCUAACACAUGCAAGUCGAGCGCCCCGCAAGGGGAGCGGCAGACGGGAGAGUAACACGUGGGAACGUACCCUUCAGUUCGGAACAACCCAGGGAAACUUGGGCUAAUACCGAAUACGUCCGUAAGGAGAAAGAUUUAUCACUGAAGGAUCGGCCCGCGUCUGAUUAGCUAGUUGGUGAGGUAACGGCUCACCAAGGCUACGAUCAGUAGCUGGUCUGAGAGGAUGAUCAGCCUCACUGGGACUGAGACACGGCCCAGACUCCUACGGGAGGCAGCAGUGGGGAAUAUUGGACAAUGGGCGCAAGCCUGAUCCAGCCAUGCCGCGUGGAUGAUGAAGGCCUUAGGGUUGUAAAGUCCUUUCGACGGGGAAGAUAAUGACGGUACCGUAGAAUAAGCCCGGCUAACUUCGUGCCAGCAGCCGC